rnacentral:tRNA from 1 species
AGCUAAGUAGCUCAUAAUUUAGAGCAGUGCAUUGAAGAUGCAUAGGAACUUUUAAAAGUCAUAGCUA